rnacentral:ncRNA from 2 species
CCCCAUCUAGCAGGAGAGAGUGGCCGCGCAAGCCGGCCGCCGCCGAAGGCGCAAGUGCACCCGCAAUCGCUCAGGCAAAAGGACUGCGAGGAUCGG